rnacentral:rRNA from 1 species
UACGGGGGGUGCGAGCGUUGUCCGGAAUCACUGGGCGUAAAGGGCGCGUAGGUGGUCUGAUAAGGGUGUGGUGAAAGCCCGGGGCUCAACCCCGGGUCGGCCGUGCCGACUGUUAGACUAGAGUGCUGUAGGGGCAGGCGGAAUUCCGGGUGUAGCGGUGGAAUGCGUAGAUAUCUGGAGGAAUACCGGUGGCGAAGGCGGCAUCCUGGACCGGCAUUGACGCUGAGGAGCGAAAGCCAGGGGAGCAAACGGG